rnacentral:rRNA from 1 species
GACAGAGGGUGCAAACGUUGUUCGGAAUUACUGGGCGUAAGCGCGUGUAGGCUGCUUCGCAAGUCGGAUGUGAAAGCCCCUGGGCUCAACCCAGGAAGUGCAUUCGAAACUGCAGAGCUGGAGUCCUGGAGAGGAAGGCGGAAUUCUCGGUGUAGAGGUGAAAUUCGUAGAUAUCGAGAGGAACACCGGUGGCGAAGGCGGCCUUCUGGACAGUGGACUGACGCUGAGACGCGAAAGCGUGGGGAGCAAACAGG